CACUGCCGAGAAAAGCCUCUAGAUAGAAAAUAGGUGCCCGUACCGCAAACCGACACAGGUAGUCAAGAUGAGAAUUCUAAGGUGAGCGAGCGAACUCUCGUUAAGGAACUCGGCAAAAUGACCCCGUAACUUCGGGAGAAGGGGUGCUCUUUAGGGUUAACGCCCAGAAGAGCCGCAGUGAAUAGGCCCAAGCGACUGUUUAUCAAAAACACAGGUCUCUGCUAAACCGUAAGGUGAUGUAUAGGGGCUGACGCCUGCCCGGUGCUGGAAGGUUAAGAGGAGUGGUUAGCUUCUGCGAAGCUACGAAUCGAAGCCCCAGUAAACGGCGGCCGUAACUAUAACGGUCCUAAGGUAGCGAAAUUCCUUGUCGGGUAAGUUCCGACCCGCACGAAAGGCGUAACGAUUUGGGCACUGUCUCAACGAGAGACUCGGUGAAAUCAUAGUACCUGUGAAGAUGCAGGUUACCCGCGACAGGACGGAAAGACCCCGUGGAGCUUUACUGUAGCCUGAUAUUGAAAUUCGGCACAGC
rnacentral:rRNA from 1 species